UACGUAGGGUGCAAGCGUUAAUCGGAAUUACUGGGCGUAAAGCGUGCGCAGGCGGUUCGGAAAGAAAGAUGUGAAAUCCCAGAGCUUAACUUUGGAACUGCAUUUUUAACUACCGGGCUAGAGUGUGUCAGAGGGAGGUGGAAUUCCGCGUGUAGCAGUGAAAUGCGUAGAUAUGCGGAGGAACACCGAUGGCGAAGGCAGCCUCCUGGGAUAACACUGACGCUCAUGCACGAAAGCGUGGGGAGCAAACAGGAUUAGAUACCCUGGUAGUCCACGCCCUAAACGAUGUCAACUAGCUGUUGGGGCCUUCGGGCCUUGGUAGCGCAGCUAACGCGUGAAGUUGACCGCCUGGGGAGUACGGUCGCAAGAUUAAA
rnacentral:rRNA from 2 species